rnacentral:rRNA from 1 species
UUGGGAAUCUUGCACAAUGGGGGAAACCCUGAUGCAGCGACGCCGCGUGGAGGAUGAAGGAUCUAGGUCUGUAAACUCCUUUUGUUGGGAAAGACUUAGGACGGUACCCAACGAAUAAGCACCGGCUAACUACGUGCCAGCAGCCGCGGUAAGACGUAGGGUGCGAGCGUUGUCCGGAUUUACUGGGCGUAAAGAGCGCGUAGGCGGCUUGUUAAGUGCGAAGCUAAAUCUCCAGGCUCAACUUGGAAACUAUUUCGCAUACUGACGAGCUAGAGGAAUGCAGAGGUUAGUGGAAUUCCUGGUGUAGCGGUGAAAUGCGUUGAUAUCAGGAGGAACACCCAUGGCGAAGGCAGCUAACUGGGCAUUAUCUGACGCUGAGGCGCGAAAGCGUGGGUAGCAAACAGGAUUAGAUACCCCCGUAGUCC